GACAGAGGGUGCAAACGUUGCUCGGAAUCACUGGGCGUAAAGGGCGUGUAGGCGGGAAGGAAAGUCGGGCGUGAAAUCCCUGGGCUCAACCCCAGGAACUGCACUCGAAACUUCUUUUCUUGAGUGCCGGAGAGGAAAGCGGAAUACCUGGUGUAGAGGUGAAAAUUCGUAGAUAUCAGGUGGAACACCAGUGGCGAAGGCGGCUUUCUGGACGGUAACCUGACGCUGGAGAACGCGAAAGCGUGGGGAGCAAACAGG
rnacentral:rRNA from 1 species